rnacentral:rRNA from 1 species
GGCUGUGUGGUUUAUUAGUAUAGAGUCUAGCCUGCCCACUGAGUUUUUAAAGGGCUGCGGUAAUUUGACCGUGCAAAGGUAGCAUAAUCAAUAGUCUUUUAAUUGAAGGCUUGAAUGAACGGCUGGAUAAAAGAGAAGCUGUCUUUUUUUCAAGUUAGAAUUUGACUUUUAAGUGAAAAGGCUUAAAUUAACUAAGGGGACGAUAAGACCCUAUAAAACUUAAUAAAAGGUUAAUUUUAACUAUGAAUUGUAUUUAAAAGUUGUGAAAUUCUCUUUUUAUUUUGUUGGGGCGACAUUGAUAUAAGCUGUAACUGUCUUGAUAAUAAAAUAGUUAUCACUAUGAGCUGAUCCUUUUUUAGGGAUAAUAAGUAUAAGUUACUUUAGGGAUAACAGCGUAAUUUUUUCUGAGAGUUCUUAUCGAAGAAAGUAGUUGCGACCUCGAUGUUGAAUUAAAAUUUCAUGCAGGUGUAGCCGCUUGCCGUGUGGGUCUGUUCGACCUUUAAAAUUUU